rnacentral:misc_RNA from 1 species
UAAUGAGGUACACGCUGGCACAUUGUCAGUGGCAACUCGGUCCUUUACAAGGAGGUAAACUGGAUCCCAAGGGUUUUUUCAAAUCCUUCAUCAGUCAAAAUAGAUCAUAAUCCGAGCAUUGUAUGGAUAUCACAGCUUAUUGAUCACUCAUCUCACAAAUGGAAGGUUGCUACGAUCAAGGAAAACUUCAAUAAGGAAGAGGUAAACCACAUCUUGACUAUACCUCUAUCUAUCUUUGAUAGAGAUGACCAACUAGUUUAGCACUUUGAUAGAAAGGGAAAUGACUCAGUCAAGUCUGGAUAUUCCAUAGCCAAUUUGUUGCUUAAUGCCGCUCAAAAUUUAGAUAGAGGAGGCCCUGGUCCAUCAGCCCACCGAGACAGUGCCAAUUCUGGAAACAAUUAUGGAAAAUUCCCUUCCCUUCGAAGCUAUCGAUCUUUCUAUGGUUCUUUUUAAAGGAGAGGCUGCCUACUAAAGAACUUAUUCGCUCUCGCUUGCCUAAAGUAUCACCAGAAUGCAGUUUUUAUGGUGCCAUAGAAACAACCAAGCAUCUUUUCUUAAAUUGUCCUCGGGUGGCUGAGAUUUGGAUUCAUUCCCUUUUCCGGAUUCGAUCUACCAUGAUUAAUAGAGCUUCAAUGAUGGACUGUUGGACUCAAUUAUCAGGGCCUUUCUAUGAACAAGGGAAUUACAAGAAUUUGUUCCGAUGUUGAUUUUCUUAUUGUGGCCAAUAUGGAAAUCUAGGAACUCUCUCACUUUCAGAAAUGAAUCAACAAACUUUCAAGAAGUGAUACCUAUAGCUCUACACUAUAUGGAAGAUUUCUCCAAUGCUCAACCUCUUCCAAACCCUGCGGAUCAUCUCGCUUCAAAAUCUCUACAACAAUGGAACCUCCCUCCUUGUAAUGUGAUAAAGAUUAACUUUGACGGAGCAGCUUCUAAACACCUUAAAAG